rnacentral:rRNA from 1 species
GAUGAACGUUGGCGGUGUGCCUAAUACAUGCAAGUCGAACGGAGACUGUAGCAAUACUGUCUUAGUGGCGAACGGGUGAGUAACGCGUUGGUGAUCUGCCUCGAAGUGUGGAAUAACCUCCCGAAAGGGAAGCUAAUACCGCAUAGUCUCUCAAGGUUUAGAAAAUUGAGAGUAAAGGAUUUAUUCGCUUCGAGAGGAGCCUGCGUCCCAUCAGCUAGUUGGUAGGGUAACGGCCUACCAAGGCUAUGACGGGUAGGGGACCUGAGAGGGUGGCCCCCACAAUGGAACUGAAACACGGUCCAUACACCUACGGGUGGCAGCAGUAGGGAAUAUUAGAAAUGGGCGGAAGCCUGAUCUAGCAACACCGCGUGUGCAUGAAGGCCUUCGGGUCGUAAAGCACUUUUUGGAGGGAAUAGGAAGGAAAGGUACCUCCAGAAUAAAGUCUCGGCUAACUACGUG